AAAGAGCUCCUGUAUCCCAGGCAGCUCAGUGAGGCUCUGAGGAGCUCAGUGGAAGAUGAGGAAAGCACAGCUCUUGGUGCUGGUGCUCCUGGUGCUGGGACACAGCAUCGCUGCAAUUGAAUUUGAAGGAGGUCGAGCCUUGGGAUGUAGUGAAACUGGAGGCUCCUGUAGACCACUCGGGUGCAAGGAAGGUGAGACAGAGACGAAGGAGAAAUGCUUCCUCGUUUUUAAGUGCUGCAAGGCUGACUGAGUAACAAAAAGUGGAAAUGUCCCCCUGUGAGAGCCGCCUGAGGCUCUGAUUGAAGCUAUCUGUAAUUCCUGUAAUUCUGCUUCUGACACAUUGUGUGGAUCCAAUGACCCCUGGCCCACUGCUUUCUGAAUCAUGUGAAUAAAACUGGCUGCAUCGA